rnacentral:rRNA from 1 species
ACGCACGCUGGCGGCGUGCUUCACCCCUGCAAGUCGAACGGAAAGGCCCUGCUUUUGUGGGGUGCUCGAGUGGCGAACGGGUGAGUAACACGUGAGUAACCUGCCCUUGACUUUGGGAUAACUUCAGGAAACUGGGGCUAAUACCGGAUAGGAGCUCCUGCUGCAUGGUGGGGGUUGGAAAGUUUCGGCGGUUGGGGAUGGACUCGCGGCUUAUCAGCUUGUUGGUGGGGUAGUGGCCUACCAAGGCUUUGACGGGUAGCCGGCCUGGGAGGGUGACCGGCCACAUUGGGACUGAGAUACGGCCCAGACUCCUACGGGAGGCAGCAGUGGGGAAUAUUGCACAAUGGGCGGAAGCCUGAUGCAGCAACGCCGCGUGCGGGAUGACGGCCUUCGGGUUGUAAACCGCUUUCGCCUGUGACGAAGCGUGAGUGACGGUAAUGGGUAAAGAAGCACCGGCUAACUACGUG